UACGUAGGGGGCAAGCGUUGUCCGGAAUCAUUGGGCGUAAAGCGCGCGUAGGCGGCCCGGUAAGUCCGCUGUAAAAGUCCAGGGCUCAACCCUGGAAAGCCGGUGGAUACUGUCGGGCUAGAGUCCGGAAGAGGCGAGUGGAAUUCCUGGUGUAGCGGUGGAAUGCGCAGAUAUCAGGAGGAACACCAACGGCGAAAGCACUCUGCUGGGCCGACACUGACACUGAGAGACGAAAGCUAGGGGAGCAAACGGG
rnacentral:rRNA from 1 species